UGAGGAAUAUUGCACAAUGGGCGAAAGCCUGAUGCAGCAACGCCGCGUGCGGGACGAAGGCCUUCGGGUCGUAAACCGCUUUUCUGAGGGACGAGCAAGGACGGUACCUCAGGAAUAAGUCUCGGCUAACUACGUGCCAGCAGCCGCGGUAAUACGGAGGGGGUUAGCGUUGUUCGGAAUUACUGGGCGUAAAGCGCGCGUAGGCGGAUUAGAAAGUUAGGGUGAAAUCCCAGGGCUCAACCCUGGAACUGCCUCUAAAACUCCUAGUCUUGAGGUCGAGAGAGGUGAGUGGAAUUCCGAGUGUAGAGGUGAAAUUCGUAGAUAUUCGGAAGAACACCAGUGGCGAAGGCGACUUACUGGACACAUAUUGACGCUGAGGUGCGAAAGCGUGGGGAGCAAACAGGAUUAGAUACCC
rnacentral:rRNA from 1 species